UAAGGGGAAAGAACUCAUUAAUCUAACGCAAACAUGGCGGCUAUCCGGGGAAAAUCAAGUUUUGUGUUUACAAAAAGAUUGUUUGUUCACUGUUGGUCACUUAAUGUAAGUGGGAAAAACUGAUUGGAUAAAGAUAUUAAACAGUCUUUAUAGUACAGGUGAAAUAGGAGACUCAUCUGCUUGUGGAGUUACAUACAGAUGCUGUUUUGAAUCAUAAGAAAUGACUGAUAUUAAUUUAUUUCUUCAGUUCCUCAUUAGCUUCUUCACAAGGAAUAAAUUGUGUAAGGAGUUCUAUAUUCCUAUUUAAAGACCUAACUUUUUUUUCCAUUUGAGUGUAUGAAAGCAAAUUAAUUGAAUUCAUUCUGAAUACUGAGCUUAUAUAGUUUUAUGUACAUGUAUAUGUGACUUUAUCUUUAUUUGACUUUUUAUUUAUAAGUUAUCUAAACAUUAAUAAUUUUAUUCUUUGUAUGAGAAGCUAUAAACAAUCAACUAUAUAUUUUUUUCUCGCCUGCGAUGAAAGUCCGGGAAAGUGAGACAUAAGGGUUCCUUUUCUGGCGAUGAUGGCUCUGGCAUCAACAAUUGUUAAGUUUGCUGCUUAAGUUAGUAAGUUUGACAGGUAUUACUUGUGAUAGAUCAUUGAUAUUUAAUAUAAAGUUGUAUUACUAUCAGUACAUAUCAGUUUGACAAUUAUUUUGAGGCCCUGUUUCUAGGAUAUGGUGCAGUGACUUGGAUUUAGAGAUUUUCAAUAUUAAUAGAAAAACAAAGGAUAUGGAGUAUCCAUCCAUGACACAAAAUCAGUAAAUGCACAACAAAAAAGCAAAGGAACAGUGCUUUUAUUGCUGUUCUUCAUCCCAAAGUCACAGUGAGACCUCAACUCUGAGCAAAAAAACUCUCACUUCACUGCAAGUCUAAGACAGCCCCUAGCACCGGCUUUAGCGGAAUUCUUUGCAAGAAUAAUUUGGAUAGACUUUGUAAGAUGUAACACCACUCAAUCUGGCUAAGUCCAAAAGGAACAUACUGGAAAGUAGUACAUAUUUAAAACAAAAAAGUUUACUGCUUAAGUUAGUUUGAUAGGAUCUAAUUCUGACACAUACAUUACAAUAUAUCCAAAAAUAAAGUAAUUGUCUGAUACAGAAGUUUUAUAUGUUUUAAAGAAUAAUGCUGUU